rnacentral:rRNA from 1 species
GAAGCAUGACCGUAAGGACAUGUGGAGCGCUUAGAAGUGAGAAUGCCGGUAUGAGUAGCGAAAGACGGGUGAGAAUCCCGUCCACCGAAUAACUAAGGUUUCCUGGGGAAGGCUCGUCCUCCCAGGGUUAGUCGGGACCUAAGGCGAGGCCGAUAGGCGUAGUCGAUGGACAACAGGUUGAUAUUCCUGUACUUCUAUAAAUCGUUUGAGCAAUGGAGGGACGCAGGAGGCUAAGAAAAGCGUACGACUGGAAGUGUACGUCCAAGCAGUGAGUCGGCUGAUGAGUCAAAUGCUUAUCACGGAUGCGACAAGCUGUGACGGGGAGGGAAGUUUAGUACCGAAGUUUCUGAUGUCACACUGCCGAGAAAAGCUUCUAGCAAGAUUUAUAGGACCCGUACCGCAAACCGACACAGGUAGUUGAGGAGAGAAUCCUAAGGUGAGCGAGCGAACUCUCGUUAAGGAACUCGGCAAAAUGACCCCGUAACUUCGGGAGAAGGGGUGCUGGUAGCAAUACCAGCCGCAGUGAAUAGGCCCAGGCGACUGUUUAUCAAAAACACAGGUCUCUGCAAAAUCGAAAGAUGACGUAUAGGGGCUGACGCCUGCCCGGUGCUGGAAGGUUAAGAGGAGAGGUUAGCCGCAAGGCGAAGCUUUGAAUUGAAGCCCCAGUAAACGGCGGCCGUAACUAUAACGGUCCUAAGGUAGCGAAAUUCCUUGUCGGGUAAGUUCCGACCCGCACGAAAGGCGUAACGAUCUGGGCACUGUCUCAACGAGAGACUCGGUGAAAUUAUAGUACCUGUGAAGAUGCAGGUUACCCGCGACAGGACGGAAAGACCCCAUGGAGCUUUACUGUAGUUUGAUAUUGAGUGUUUGUGUCACAUGUACAGGAUAGGUAGGAGCUGAAGAAUCCGGGACGCCAGUUUCGGAGGAGGCAACGGUGGGAUACUACCCUUGUGACAUGACCACUCUAACCCGCACCCCUCACCGGGGUGGGAGACAGUGUCAGACGGGCAGUUUGACUGGGGCGGUCGCCUCCUAAAAUGUAACGGAGGCGCCCAAAGGUUCCCUCAGAAUGGUUGGAAAUCAUUCGAAGAGUGUAAAGGCAGAAGGGAGCUUGACUGCGAGACCAACAAGUCGAGCAGGGACGAAAGUCGGGCUUAGUGAUCCGGUGGUACCGUAUGGAAGGGCCAUCGCUCAACGGAUAAAAGCUACCCUGGGGAUAACAGGCU